GCACUGAUGAAGAGUCCCAACUAGAACGAAACAGAUGUUCAGUAC
rnacentral:hammerhead_ribozyme from 1 species